GCCGGGUUAGCUCAGUUGGUUAGAGCAUGGUGCUAAUGCCCCGCCAAGUUCACAGGUUCAAUCCCUGCUUACUGCA
rnacentral:tRNA from 1 species